UACGUAGGGUGCGAGUGUUAAUCGGAAUUACUGGGCGUAAAGUGUGCGCAGGCGGCAGAGCAAGUCGAGUGUGAAAGCCCCGGGCUUAACUUGGGAAUUGCGCUCGAAACUACUUUGCUGGAGUGUGGCAGAGGAAGGUGGAAUUCCACGUGUAGCGGUGAAAUGCGUAGAGAUGUGGAGGAACACCAAUGGCGAAGGCAGCCUUCUGGGCCAACACUGACGCUCAUGCACGAAAGCGUGGGGAGCAAACAGG
rnacentral:rRNA from 1 species